rnacentral:rRNA from 1 species
UACGUAGGGUGCAAGCGUUGUCCGGAAUUAUUGGGCGUAAAGGGCUCGUAGGCGGUCCAUCACGUCGGGAGUGAAAAGCUGGGGCUUAACCCCAGUCCUGCUUCCGAUACGGGUGGACUAGAGGUAGGCAGGGGAGAACGGAAUUCCUGGUGUAGCGGUGAAAUGCGUAGAUGUCUGGAGGAAUACCGGUGGCGAAGGCGGCAUCCUGGACCGACAUUGACGCUGAUGAGCGAAAGCUAGGGGAGCAAACGGG